GACGAACGCUGGCGGCGUGCUUAACACAUGCAAGUCGAACGGAAAGGCCCUGCUUUUGUGGGGUGCUCGAGUGGCGAACGGGUGAGUAACACGUGAGUAACCUGGCCUUGACUUUGGGAUAACUUCAGGAAACUGGGGCUAAUACCGGAUAGGAGCUCCUGCUGCAUGGUGGGGGUUGGAAAGUUUCGGCGGUUGGGGAUGGACUCGCGGCUUAUCAGCUUGUUGGUGGGGUAGUGGCUUACCAAGGCUUUGACGGGUAGCCGGCCUGAGAGGGUGGCCGGCCACAUUGGGACUGAGGUACGGCCCAGACUCCUACGGGAGGCAGCAGUGGGGAAUAUUGCACAAUGGGCGGAAGCCUGAUGCAGCAACGCCGCGUGCGGGAUGACGGCCUUCGGGUUGUAAACCGCUUUCGCCUGUGACGAAGCGUGAGUGACGGUAAUGGGUAAAGAAGCACCGGCUAACUACGUG
rnacentral:rRNA from 1 species